rnacentral:rRNA from 1 species
GCAGGCGGUUUUUUAAGUUCUGAAUGUGAAAGCCCCCGGCUUAACCGGGGAGGGUCAUUGGAAACUGGGGAAACUUUGAGUGCAGAAGAGGAGAGUGGAAUUCCACGUGUAGCGGUGAAAUGCGUAGAGAUGUGGAGGAACACCAGUGGCGAAGGCGACUCUCUGGUCUGUAACUGACGCUGAGGAGCGAAAGCGUGGGGAGCGAACAGGAUUAGAUACCCUGGUAGUCCACGCCGUAAACGAUGAGUGCUAAGUGUUAGGGGGUUUCCGCCCCUUAGUGCUGCAGCUAACGCAUUAAGCACUCCGCCUGGGGAGUACGGUCGCAAGACUGAAACUCAAAGGAAUUGACGGGGGCCCGCACAAGCGGUGGAGCAUGUGGUUUAAUUCGAAGCAACGCGAAGAACCUUACCAGGUCUUGACAUCCUCUGACAAUCCUAGAGAUAGGACGUCCCCUUCGGGGGCAGAGUGACAGGUGGUGCAUGGUUGUCGUCAGCUCGUGUCGUGAGAUGUUGGGUUAAGUCCCGCAACGAGCGCAACCCUUGAUCUUAGUUGCCAGCAUUCAGUUGGGCACUCUAAGGUGACUGCCGGUGACAAACCGGAGGAAGGUGGGGAUGACGUCAAAUCAUCAUGCCCCUUAUGACCUGGGCUACACACGUGCUACAAUGGACAGAACAAAGGGCAGCGAAACCGCGAGGUUAAGCCAAUCCCACAAAUCUGUUCUCAGUUCGGAUCGCAGUCUGCAACUCGACUGCGUGAAGCUGGAAUCGCUAGUAAUCGCGGAUCACA